CGCUGAGUUUGAUCCUGGCUCAGAAUGAACGCUGGCGGAAUGCUUUACACAUGCAAGUCGAACGGUAGAGGGGGCAACCCCUUGAGAGUGGCGAACGGGUGAGUAAUAUAUCGGAACGUGCCCAGUCGUGGGGGAUAACGUAGCGAAAGUUACGCUAAUACCGCAUACGAUCUAAGGAUGAAAGCGGGGGAUCGCAAGACCUCGCGCGAUUGGUGCGGCCGAUAUCAGAUUAGGUAGUUGGUAGGGUAAAGGCCCACCAAGCCAACGAUCAGUAACUGGUGUGAGAGCACGACCAGUCACACGGGGCACUGAGACACGGGGCCCGACUCCUACGGGAGGCAGCAGUGAGGAAUAUUGGUCAAU
rnacentral:rRNA from 1 species